UCCAAUUCCGAAGCCCUUGUCCUCUGAGU
rnacentral:piRNA from 1 species